rnacentral:tRNA from 1 species
GGGGAUGUGGCUCAAGUGGUAGUGUGCUCGCCUGGCAUGUGUGGGGCGCUGGGUUCGAUCCUCAGCAUCACACA